CCUACGGGAUGCACCAGUGGGGAAUAUUGCACAAUGGGCGCAAGCCUGAUGCAGCCAUGCCGCGUGUAUGAAGAAGGCCUUUGGGUUGUAAAGUACUUUCGGCGGGGAGGAAGGUGUUGUGGUUAAUAACCACAGCAAUUGACGUUACCCGCAGAAGAAGCACCGGCUAACUCCGUGCCAGCAGCCGCGGUAAUACGGAGGGUGCAAGCGUUAAUCGGAAUUACUGGGCGUAAAGCGCACGCAGGCGGUCUGUCAAGUCGGAUGUGAAAUCUCCGGGCUCAACCUGGGAACUGCAUUCGAAGCUGGCAGGCUAGAGUCUUGUAGAGGGGGGUAGAAUUCCAGGUGUAGCGGUGAAAUGCGUAGAGAUCUGGAGGAAUACCGGUGGCGAAGGCGGCCCCCUGGACAAAGACUGGCGCUCAGGUGCGAAAGCGUGGGGAGCAAACAGGAUUAGAUACCCUCGUAGUC
rnacentral:rRNA from 1 species